UGGGGAAUAUUGCACAAUGGGCGGAAGCCUGAUGCAGCCAUGCCGCGUGUGUGAAGAAGGCCUUCGGGUUGUAAAGCACUUUCAGUGAGGAGGAAGGGGUGAGUUUUAAUAGAGCUUACCAUUGACGUUACUCACAGAAGAAGCACCGGCUAACUCCGUGCCAGCAGCCGCGGUAAUACGGAGGGUGCAAGCGUUAAUCGGAAUUACUGGGCGUAAAGCGCACGCAGGCGGUUUGUUAAGUUAGAUGUGAAAUCCCCGGGCUUAACCUGGGAACUGCAUUUAAAACUGGCAAGCUAGAGUCUUGUAGAGGGGGGUAGAAUUCCACGUGUAGCGGUGAAAUGCGUAGAGAUGUGGAGGAAUACCGGUGGCGAAGGCGGCCCCCUGGACAGAGACUGACGCUCAGGUGCGAAAGCGUGGGGAGCAAACA
rnacentral:rRNA from 1 species